rnacentral:lncRNA from 1 species
GGUGGUGGGUGGGUGGGUGGGAAGGAACCCUCAAGUUGAUGUGCAAGUAUAGUUGAAACGCUUGUGUGAUACCUCUAGCUAUGUGUUAUAAGGUAAGUAUGAUUUAUAUGAAGCCAGAGAAAAAAAGUCUGGUUACGCACAAAAUUACAGUGAAGUUUCUAUCUCCAGACUUUUAGUCAUGGAAUUAUUUUGUUCACCACACUUGGGAGUUGUUCAGUACUUCAGAUCUCACAUCACCGUGUUUUUUGGAGUUUUCAUUGUGUUCUAUGGAAAUAACGAUAUGAUGCUAGUUUGGAUUUCCCCAAUACACAGUUUAUUAUUUAUAAGAAAAAAUGUUCCUAAGUUCCUGGUUAAAUAUAAAGGUACUGAGUUGCCAAAUGACAGCUUUCUAAAGAGACCCCCCUGAAAGGAGUUGGCUCAGGUUUGUAGAUGGCUUCCUUCUAAUUAAUCUUGGGAAGGAAUAUUCCCUUCCAAUCGGGAUGAGGUUUUUCUGAUGGUCUAACAGGUGUCUUUGCCAAACUUUAGACACUUUAGAUAUCACCUUAGUUACUGUUACUGUGUUCCACCCAGAAAGUUUAUUUCCUUUACUUGACAAAAAACCUUGACAAAGAUUUUUAGAUAGUAUCUGCUAGGCUCUCAGUUUCACUUUAAAUCUGCCUCGCCUGAGAAGAGACCAGUCCUCCAUAGUUGGUAAGGUUUCCAGCCAGCAACAACAGCCUCACCUGGAACCUUGGGAGACGUGUAAAUGAGCAGACUCCACCGCAGACCUGCUGAGUUAGACACUGUGGCGAGGGCUGGGACAGGACCCAGCUAGCCGUUUUAACACCUUUUAACUCAGGCAUGCUACUCUGAAAACCACUAUGUGGAGAAAAGUCUGCCGAUGCAUUCUCUAGUAAGCACGGAUUUCGAUUCAGACAAGUCGUGCUAAUGCAAGGAGUCUAUGGAGGGAGACAAAGAGCUGGGGAAGCCCUAUGGAUGUAACUCCCUAGCCUCCCCAGGAGGAGGAAUCUGGUUAUAAAGCAAUAGAAAUUCCCGAUGAAUAUUUGCCACCCAAGCUGAGAGUUUUGAGUCUGGUCACAUUAGGAGGCGUGAGGCAAUGAGGUCAACUCUCUGUGAGUGCUUCCAUCUUUGCGUGAGGCAAAGCCACUUCUGCUAUCCCAUCCCACUGAAUGUGGGCUCCUGGAUGCUCACGGCCACAUAGCAAUGUAUUCUUAUCUGUUAACUCCCAAGUGUAUAGUGAGUGCUUACUCUUUAUGAAGUCCAGGUGGAGAAAGACCCAAUCCCUUUAGUCAAAGGGAAUGUCAUUUGGUUCUAUGAGGAGACCCCUGAGCAUAGCGCUGCAUGUGCUCACAGAUUCGAACUCUUCUAAAUGCGCCCAAGCUGCCCUGACCUCAUAGGCAAAGCUUAGCCACGUUUACACUUAUUUGUGGCUUCUUUUACUAGCUGUGCAGCCAGGAGGAAAAGGAGCUCAUUAAAUCGCUCAGGCAGACCCUGCAUUUGAGAUCCCCCUGUGCCAACCCAAGGCCAGCCGAAAGCUACAUGGUGAAACUUUUCCCCACCCCCAGAUCCCCCAAAAGAAAUCACUAAAGAUAAGAUGAACCAUUUAGAAAAAUGAGUUGCUGCUUCAAAGCAUAGUUAGGAGCCAGGUGUGGCCGUGCAGCCUGUAAUCCCAGCAUCUAAGAGGUGGAGACAGGAGGACAAGCCUCAGGUUCAUGGCAGUUUUGAGUCCAGACUGCUACAUAAGACCCUCUCUCAAUAAACAAACAAACAAACAAAUAAACAGAAACAAAAAAAAAACCCAAAAACUAAAAACCCAAAAAA